GGUCGGUGGUGGGGUGGUGAUCCGUGGUGGCGUCGUGCUUACUAGGAUCCCAAGGGAGCAACUGCAGCUCAGGCUGCCUUCCCAGAGCAGAACCUUUGUGAUUUCUAAGGUCGGCCUCUGAUCAAUUUAAUCAUAGUUUCUGCUUCUUGGCUCUUUGAGAAUUCACUCCAAUGAUCUGAGUGAAGAAUCAAAGGUGUGGAUAUGAUUGUAGCUCUGGAUCAAUUGUGCCUGUCCACCCAUCAACCAAUCCAACCAUUCAUGCACCCAUCCACCUGUCAAAUCAUCCACCCACCCAUCCGCCCGUCCAUGCAUCCAUCCAUCCAGCCAUCUAUCUGUCCAUCCAUCUGGAGGAAUCGAUCCAUUCUUGGCUCUGCUGCUUAUGGUCCUCACGGUAAAGAGAUGAUUCUGACACAUCCCCCAGUCCAACGCCACCCGGACAAGCUCUCAGCCAUCACC